GGGUGAUAGUCUCCCAUGAGCUGAUGUUGAUGUUGCAUUUUUUCCAAAUUGGCAUGCUUGCAGGGCUUUCUCUGCCCUCUUUUUGAGUGUAUGCUUUGAUUGAGCUGGGAGAAUAGAACUUGGUUUGGGAGUCUGGAGUCAGACAUCCAGGUGACAUGGCCAACCCAACAAAAUUGAUGUCAAACGAUCAUUGCCUCAAUACUCAUGUGUGUUUGCUUGCAAGAGGAUGCUAAUGUUCAUGCAUCUGUCUUCCCACUAGAUUUGAAGAAUCUUCCGAAGGCAGCAUUGAUAGUACGUCUCCAACGACUUGAGGUGUCUCCUGUACAUUGUCAACGUCUCAGCUCUGUCCAGCCAGGCGUCCAAAGGCUGCACUUGCAUAUUUGAGGUGACGUUGGAUUUCUUCGUCAAUAUAAGCCUUAUGCAAGAGAUGGCUUCUGAGGUAUGGGAAAUACUCAGCGUUCUCCAGAGUUUCACCAGGAAUCUGAAUUACUGGAGCUGGGGACUGCUCAUUAAGGUCUUGUUGAUGGAGGACCUUUGUCUUCUGAAUGUUAAGUGUCCUCAGUGCUGCUUGUGUAUUUUGCAAUAGUCAUCAGAAAAAAAUCACAAAAGAGUCACUUUCCCUCUUGCACAGACUCCUUCUGACUCCAUGACUCUUGUAUUCCUAACAGGUUUCAACAGGAAGGACUGACAAUGCCCUCAGCCCUACCUAGACUAUUGCCUAGUGGUUUGGGCACUUUCCUAGGAAAUGGGAGAUAUAGGUUUGAAUCUCCUUAAUCUGAGAAGGAUCAAGAAUCAGGCUCUCCCAUGUCCUGGGAAAAUGCCUUAAUCAUUAGGGCAUCGAGCAAAAGAUGACCACCACCACCAUGACGUCAAACAAAAAACCCUCUAUGUGGGUUUUUUACUAUUGAAUGAUUUGGGAACUUAGGUGGUGUUUAUGAGCUUCCCAAAAUGGAACUAGAUCACAACAGAGCUCAGGCAGAAUUAGACAACUAGGCUAAGUACAGACAGUCAAAAAGCCCAAGGCUAAAUUGAUUCAAUCUUUGCAGUUUAGUCUAAACUGCAUAGCUUGCAAGAAUAGGCAGGUGAACAGGCAUUCACUUGAUUCCAGAAAUGCAGACACAUGCCUGCAGUGGCCCAGUCUGACCUGGCCACUCAGCAAAGAGGGGUUUGCAGGGGAAGUGCAAAGCAUGUUGGGAUGCUGGGGGACUGUGAGUUAACUUGAAUCUGAAGGGGAUCUGGGACAGAAGUUCAAUAAACUGAUUUAAUCUAAAUCAGUUAAGUCUGAUAAUACAUCCAUCCAAGUUUAUCUUAAACCAGUUUCAGACAUUUUGAAAGUGGUUUAUGUGCACUGAGCUUCUGUUGUGUUACAGAUUUGAACCAGUUUCUGAUCACUUAAACCAGCUUGUGUAAUUUCUUUUCCUAGCCCUAAAGAAUCAAGACACUGAAGCAGUUUUGAGGCUGCUGCACAUAUUGAAAUGGAAUUACAUUUAGAGACUUGGGGCCAGAUUCUAUUCCACAUAUUAGGCACAUAAGUGGAUUUAGGCACAUGAGUGCAAUUCUAUUCCAUCCUGCUGAAGUCCCUGAAAAGAGGGUACAAAAGAUGGAUCAUCUUCCUCCUCGCUGCAUUUUUGUGAUUCAGUAUUAAGGGUGAGAUGACAAGGAGUUACAAGAGAGGUGUAUUAAUGGAUUUUCAGGGCUUGAAGAGCACAGAAUAGAAUCACACUUAGAUACCUAAAUCUAUUAAGAAUAAGGACACAUGUAACACUUAAAUCAGUUUAAAUGCAGUUUAAACCUGAAACAGAGAGACAUACAAGCCUGUUAAACCUACUUUGACUGCCUGAAAUGGUUCAAAAGUGGAAAAUCAAGUACUCUUUUGAAACAUUUUAAUGUGAACUGGAUCAAUUCUAUGUGUGGAUACUAAGGCUGCUUGCAGACGUUAAAAACAAACAAACAAAAACAACCCAUGCUUUACUGGAAGCAGCAGCACAUUACUUCAAUCUGGUUCCACAGCAUCUGUAUAGAUCGCGGGCUUCAGCGGGGCUUUUUGACACUUAUCUAAAGUUGAUUCAAUCAGAUAUUAGAUAAAAGCACCCAAAAAGUCCUACUAAAGCGCCCAAUCUAUGAAGAUGUUAAGCAAGCUGGGUCCAACUAAAGUGAUGCCUCUUCUGGCCAUGUACUGGGCUCAGCUCGGGGGUGUGCAGAGGUUAAAACAAAGCACUGUUUGUGGUCGUUGGGGUUUUUUUUAAUGUCUGCAAGCAGCCUUAGUGUUCUAUAAUUCAAGUCUGGUUGGACCUUCAGACAUCCCACACUGUCACAGACAGACAUCUAGUAGCCAGAAGAAAUUUACUAUGCCCCCUCCUUUUUUUUCCCUUUUGUUGGCACUUGUUAAUCAGCGAGCUCCCUUGCACUGUUUGCUCAGAUAAAAGCUAUCAUGCUAAUAACCAGCUGUGUCCUCACUCCCUACUUGACUAUACCCCCUCAUCAUGUCCCCCAGACCCUGGGAACCCAAGACUUGGAACCAAGCACUCCUUCAUUUCCCACACUCCAGGUCAGGCAAUCACACCCAGAGAUUACCUGAGCUGGGUGCAGGGUCCGGGGCAAGGAAGCUGGCAGUGGAUUUGGCAGCGAAGGGGGGUGGUGCUGAGCAGCCGGAUGUGAAACCAGCGUCAGCGCGGAGUUGCCGCAGCUGCUCCGCCCAGAUUCACAGGGCCCCCAAAGCACAGGGCCCAGGGCAGUCAUCCCCAUUUGCCUCCCCGCCAGGGACAGCCUUGAUCACACCUCAGUUUGGUCAAGCCCAGUUUAUUGAACUUGACUGAAUUCACGUUUAAGACAGAAGGGAAAGCAGAAAAUGAAAAUGCCCUCCAGCUACAGGUCUUCCAACUCUGGGACUCCCAGUUAUGGCUGGGUGCUCACUCCUACCUGUUGGUGUCAGAGCCCCAGCACUUCAGUGCCUAAAAGGUGACUGUACUAUCUAGAAUACUGGGGCACUGUAUGUGUGGGCACCUCUGACCUGCAACAAUUGUGAACCAGUUCCCAAUCAAUGACUGGUUCAGUUGUUACAUGUGUCCCCAUCCUUAGACACCCAAAAGUUGUAACAGACUCUGGCCCUUACGAUGCACCUAUUCCAAUUUCAUAGCAAUCCUGGCAUCGCCAAGAAGCAUGGCUACAUCCACUCACACCUGCUCCACAUACAAUGAACCUGAGAACAAAGCUGUGAAAUCAACCUAAGGGCACCCCCUGCCACUGCUCAGUAGUGCACCAGACACAGACAACUUGAGAGCAUUGGAAGGGAGGCUCCACCAGAGCUGCUUCACUGUCUUAUUCCCAGGUUUAAAGUAUACAGAAUAGAAGCGGAUAGUCGGAGUUCAUAGAUUCAUAGAUGCUAGGGUCGGAAGGGACCUCAAUAGAUAGAGUCCGACCCCCUGCAUAGGCAGGAAAGAGUGCUGGGUUCAGAUGACCCCAGCUAGAUGCUUAUCUAACCUCCUCUUGAAGACCCCCAGGGUAGGGGAGAGCACCACCUCCCUUGGGAGCCCGUUCCAGACCUUGGCCACUCGAACUGUGAAGAAGUUCUUCCUAACGUCUAGUCUAAAUCUGCUCUCUGCUAGCUUGUGGCCAUUAUUUCUUGUAACCCCCGGGGGCACCUUGGUGAAUAAAACCUCACCAAUUCCCUUCUGUGCCCCACAAUUCCCUUCUGUGAGUUGUGAUUCGUGGUGGCACACUCAGAAGCACCAUGGAAGCAUGGACAUCUUGCUAUAGCCUAAAAGCCAGGUAACUGCUACUUAGAUGUCUUGAAGAAUAGGAUCCAGGCCAACUACAGAUCGCUAAGCAGACUCCCUUCUGAAAGACAGCAGUGCAGUAAACACACACACACAGAUAUACCUCUGUACAUACACAUACACAGGUGCGCACUUUAAGAAUACAGAUAUAUGCACACAAAUAAUGCGGACGCAUAUAUACGCACUUCCCAAUACAAAUAUAUGCACACAAUAUGCAAAGUCAUACAUGGAUGCACACUUGCAUACAGGUACCCACAUUUAAAGGCAGGCAUGUGCACAAAUCAAACACAUGCAUACAUGUGCAUAUAGUAACAGAACCACAUCUCUGCACUCAAACAUAUUCAUUAAUACAUUGCUAUGGAUCUACAUGCAUGAAUACACAUGUAUGUGCACACAAAGGCAUAUAUGUAUGCAUAUCAUUGACAUGCAUGCAUAGCCACGUGUAUGCACAUAUACAAAUGAGGCAGUUAGUCAUAUUCAUAUGUUUGCAUACAAACACAUGGAUAAGAACAAGCAGAAUCGUCUUCAUGCAUACAAGUACAGACACAAACAUGCCUCAGAUUUAGACACGCAAAUGUGCAUGAAAAAAACACACAUGCAUAUACGCACACAUUCAUAAAAAAUACAAUACAAGUAUACAUACAUGGCAUACAUGCAUGUGCAGUUUAGGUAUAAAUACAAAUGCAGUUAUGCACACAGAAACAUAUGUAGUCAUACAAAUACACAUCUUAUGGCAUACACAUGUAACCUGGGUACACCCAAGGGUGUGCCCUAUUCUCAAUUGGAUGGGAUGGGUAGGCAGGAGGAGGUGCUGUGAGAGGGAUGCCAGAAUUUCAGGCAGAUCCCUCUUUCCUCUAUAGAGUUAGCCCAGGCCCAAAGUUCUUAAAUAUAUACAAUUUAUUGAGUUACCAACAUUUCUAUACAAAAUUCUUUACAAUAGAUACAAUUACAGGUAUAGGUACAAAUAUAUAUAUAAAGGUCUGUUAGCAAGAGGAAGUCUGCCCUAGGGAGGGCAUUCGGGUAAGUACCCAUGCCUCAGUCCCAGAAGAGGGGUAAAUUCCAGGACAAUCAAUCCAGCAAGUUUAUACCACAAAUGGGUUAGCUAAUAAAGACAUCCUUACAGAGCCCAUUAUAUGGAAUUAAUGCACCCAACUAUUUAUAACACCAACAAUAACAAUAGAUACCAAAUAGGAAACAUAACUAUACCAGAUAUUAGACACACCCUAUCUGGGUUCCAAGCACUUGGUUCCUCAAAUGGGAUAGGUUCUUCUCCCCCUAGGUCGCCUGGGGGUUCCACAGGCCUUCCCCCUUGCUCACUCCUCCCUUGCCUGAAGGCACCUCCCCUGUGGGGCUCAGGUUCCCGGUAACUCACGGUCCUUCCUCUGGGGGCUGUCAAUCUGGCCUCUGGGUCCUGACACCAUCGCAGGCCUCCUGGAGCUGUCGGCCUUGACUUGAGGGUCCUUCUCUCUGGGCCCCGUGCUGGGCACCCAGGGAGCUCCUAUGGGAGCCAGGACACACUCAAGUUCCCAGCCUCAUGCUGGGGGUGUUUCCCCUUCCCAGGCCCUGCUCUGGACACCUGGACUUUUUUAGUUUAAUGCUGAGCCAUACUGUGGGGCUUCAGUUACCUGGCCUAGAGCUGGGGCUAACGUGAGCAGCCUCGAGCUGCUCCCAGGGCCAGUUCUCCAUGCACCAAUCCACGCACAGCCUCACCCAGCAGCUUGCUGGGUGUGCAGGCUCAAGCUGCCUCAAGCAUCUCCCAGAGCCUGAGUACCAUGCGCCAACCCACGCACUGUUGAGGCUCAGGUGGGGUCCUGAUGAUGGUCUUCUCUGGAGCUCCUCUCUCUUCACCAUCCCUCACCAUGUCUGUCCAGCAUGUUGAGCACACCAGGCUUUUAUUUACACUGGAGGCCCUAUCCCUGAAGUCUGCCAUACCUGCACAGCGUAGUCUUCAAUCAGGUCCAGGGGCUCCUCGUUCUCCUGUCUCUGAGCAGGGGCGCAGCAAGCCCCUCCCAGCUGUUACCUGAUUGGUGGAGAUGUUCUAAAACAGAUUCGGACACAGAUUGGUAUGUACACAUGGACAAAUACAAACACAAAUUUAUGUCUGGAAACAUAUGUUUGCACAUAGGUAGACCUACAUGUAUAUAAGUAUUCACUCAAACACACACAUGUAUGUGCAUACAGACUUACAGAUGCACCUAUAUGUCUGAAAACACAAAACUGCAUACACAUAUACAAGUGCCUGCACACUUACAGACAUACUUGUCUGCACACAUAUGGAGGCCUAUACAUGCAUACAGGUUUACAUACAGUCAUGUGCGUACACACAUUUUGAGACAAGUAUGUAUUUUCAUGUUUUUGGGGGGUAAGCCCCCCGAUUGGCCAAGGGGACCCAGCACCUCUGCCCCUCGCUACCCAUUGGUAGAAAGGGCUGCCCAUCAUGCAGCCCCACCCCUCACCACUGAUUGGCAGAGAAGGGUGGGGCCAGGGGAACCAUAUUUUUUGCACCCCUGCCCUAGCCCCCCCGUAGGGCUCAAGACACUCCUAUGCCCUCAGGCACUAUUGGGACCCCUGACAGUUGCAAACCCAAACCACCAGUUAAGACUAAAACUAAAAAGUACUCUGGCUAGAACUAAACCUCUAGCCUUCUGGCCAUAUACCAAAACUCCUACCCAGCCAUGGGCCUUAGUCCACUACUGGGCCUCAGCCCUUCACAUGCCAUCUCCAAGCAUAGCACGCUCACAGUCCAUCUGUCAGCAACAGUCAUCUCACCACCUAGCCCCCCCUUCUUCAGCUUCCAGGGCCAGACUGACUGCCUUGGCUCUGGCUCUGGCUUAUCCUUCUCCAAUGCCCUGCCCCUUUCCGGUCAGGUGACCCCUCAGUGCUGGCCCCAGGUGUGCUAUCUAAUUAGGCUCACUAACUGGUCUCCAUGGCAGCCUACCUGUAGCAGUUCCUUGUCUCCCCUGCAGAACUUCAGUCUACAGUCCUACUGUGGAGCAACCAGCACUGCAAUAAGCUUCCUACUGCUAACACAGACAUUGUCCUAUUGUAGCACUCACAGUCCUCAUGUCCCUGGACCAGGUCUCCUACAGCAGUCUUCCCCAACCUGGGGCUCUCCCUGGGCUCUUUCUCCCUUUAAGUAACAAAGAGCCCCAGGCUUUCUGUUGCAGUAUGCGGUUAUGCAUUCAGGUAGUGUCAGAGUGAUGUAGCCGUGAUGAUCCAUAAAUUAUGAUGGGUCUGUUGUCCAUUCAGGCACAGGCACUAAGACACACUUUGUAUUUAUGCAUAGAUGUAUAUGUAUGUAUGUAUGUAUGUAUGUAUGUAUGUAUGUAUUCACACAAAUUACACAAAUACACGCACGCACGCACGCACUCACAUACCAGCAGACAGCUGUAUGCAUGCAAACACAGACAUCUAUGCACAUGCAAACACACACUUUCUGUUAUAAACUUGCACAAACAAACUAACAUCUACCCCUUCACACAAAGACUUGUUAUCAAUUUUCACUGCAACAUUAAGUGGUAACUGCGACAGUGUUCAACAGUGUUCAUGCUGAAAGACUAUAGUGCAAAAAUGGUAACAGCUGCUAACAUGUUUUACUCCUAAUGUGCAUUGCUGACAUGUUUAAUUGCUAUUUCAUGCAUUAAAGUUAAAUGAUUGCAGUAAAUGAGUAAUCUCUCUAA